rnacentral:rRNA from 1 species
CAGCCGCCACGGUAAUACGUAGGGUGCAAGCGUUAAUCGGAAUUACUGGGCGUAAAGCGUGCGCAGGCGGUUAUAUAAGACAGAUGUGAAAUCCCCGGGCUCAACCUGGGAACUGCAUUUGUGACUGUAUAGCUAGAGUACGGCAGAGGGGGAUGGAAUUCCGCGUGUAGCAGUGAAAUGCGUAGAUAUGUGGAGGAACACCGAUGGCGAAGGCAAUCCCCUGGGCCUGUACUGACGCUCAUGCACGAAAGCGUGGGGAGCAAACAGGAUUAGAUACCCCAGUAGUCCCUGUCUCUUAUAC